CAGUAGCCACGGUAAUACGGAGGGGGCUAGCGUUGUUCGGAGUUACUGGGCGUAAAGCGCACGUAGGCGGCUUGGUAAGUUAGAGGUGAAAGCCUGGAGCUCAACUCCAGAAUUGCCUUUAAGACUGCCGAGCUAGCAGGUGAGAGAGGUAAGUGGAAUUCCGAGUGUAGAGGUGAAAUUCGUAGAUAUUCGGAAGAACACCAGUGGCGAAGGCGGCUUACUGGCUCAUACUGGACGCUGAGGUGCGAAAGCGUGGGGAGCAAACAGGAUUAGAUACCCGAGUAGUCCCUGUCUCUUAUAC
rnacentral:rRNA from 1 species